rnacentral:rRNA from 1 species
GAUGAACGCUAGCUACAGGCUUAACACAUGCAAGUCGAGGGGCAGCGCAGUGUAGCAAUACAUGGGCGGCGACCGGCGCACGGGUGCGUAACGCGUAUCCAACCUUCCCGUUACUCUCGGAUAGCCUUCCGAAAGGGAGAUUAAUACGAGAUGGUGUUUUAAUUCCGCAUGUUAUUAAAACUAAAGAUUCAUCGGUAACGGAUAGGGAUGCGUGACAUUAGAUAGUUGGCAGGGUAACGGCCCACCAAGUCUACGAUGUCUAGGGGUUCUGAGAGGAAGGUCCCCCACACUGGAACUGAGACACGGCCCAGACUCCUACGGGAGGCAGCAGUCGGGAAUAUUGCACAAUGGGGGAAACCCUGAUGCAGCGACGCCGCGUAAAGGAAGAAGGUCUUCGGAUUGUAAACUUUUGUCGACAGGGAAGAAAAAUGACAGUACCUGUGGAGGAAGCCCCGGCUAACUACGUG